AAGUGGGCAUGUCGGGGGAGAGAGCCCUGGGCAGAGAGAACUAGAGCAAAGGGUCUAAGGCAGGGUGGACAGGAUGAUGGGGGAGGCGGUCACAAGAAGAGGGACAGAGAAGUAAGGACAGAGGGAACACAGGCCAGAUGGGCUUGAGGCCAAACCCAGAAAGAAGAGAGAAGACAAACUGAAGCAAGUUCUCUAAACCUUCUGAUUAAUAGUUACUGAACUCCAUUAUUCUCCAAAAAAGUCCUGUGUGGACAUGGGAGCAACUAAAUGUCCAUCAAGAGAGGAAUGGAUAAAGAAGAUGUGGCAUAUAUAUACAGUGAAAUAUUGCUCAGCCAUAAGAAGGAACAAAAUUGUGUCAUUUACAGAGAGGUGGAUGGAUCUAGAGACUUUCACAUAGAGUGAAAGUCUGGAAAUGACCACUGUGUUCUCACUACCUCUCAGAGACAAUGGAGAAGAUGGAUAGAGAUGCAACUCAUUUCUACAGGAUGGAAGGAAAUGAUACAAACUGUACGAAGUGCAAUUAAAGUAAGAUAUUAGAAGAAACUAA